rnacentral:rRNA from 1 species
UACGGAGGGUGCAAACGUUGCUCGGAAUCAUUGGGCGUAAAGCGCACGUAGGUGGCCUGUUAAGUCGGGUGUGAAAUCCCUGGGCUCAACCCAGGAAGUGCACUCGAAACUGGCAGGCUUGAGUACUGAAGAGGGUCGCGGAAUUCCCGGUGUAGAGGUGAAAUUCGUAGAGAUCGGGAGGAACACCAGUGGCGAAGGCGACUAUCUGGCUGACAACUGACGCUGAGACUCGAAAGCAUGGGGAGCAAACAGG